GCCGGGGUGGCUCAGCUGGUAGAGCGCCAGCCAGGCUUAGGGACGAAACUCAUAAUCUGGAGAGUACAUUGGGCCCAGAAGCCGCGGGUUCGAACCCCGUCCCCGGCA
rnacentral:tRNA from 1 species